GUUGCUGUGCCAAAAUUUUUUAAAUUUGCCGCCUUUUUCCAGUCUCAUCUUUCGUUAGCCAGACUCUAGUA